AUUCUUUUAAAAAACCACAUACUAAAAUUGGAACGAUACAGAGAAGAUUAGCAUGGCCCCUGCACAAGAUGACACACGAAUUUGUGAAGCGUUCCAUAUUUUU
ensembl:snRNA U6 U6 spliceosomal RNA